UAUAUAUAUAUUAUAUAUAUAUAUACACACACACACACAUAUACACAUAUACAUACAUACAUACAUAUACAUAUAUACACACACACAUACAUAAAAUAAUUAUCCAUCACAUUUCAUCUGCAGAUUAGGAUCAUGUGAUGUGACCAAAUGCUUCAGAAAAGCUAUUAAAUGGACUUUGUGGUUCGAUAUUUUGUUGUUAGGAAUAAAUAAGCCUGAAUAGAAUAAAUUGUUUUAGUCACAUGAUCAAAAAAAAAAGAGAAGUUCACAUCUGAAUUUGUGAAAAAUGCAAAUUUGAAAUUAAUUUCAAUUGAUAUUCAAAAAAAAAAAAAAAAAAAUCCACGUCAAAUCCAGAUGGAUGGCUAAUAAAUCAACUGUAACUAUUUAAAAAUUUCAAAUGAUUUGGGCCUUAUUUUGCCUCCACAGUCAAGACAGAUACUGAGAGUGAUGCAACUGUAAUUAACGGAUAUCAUUGAUAAUGAUGGCCUGCUCAUGUAUCAGUCGGACUCUUCAUUUUUUUUUACUUGAUAAAUUAAACUGCUGAAUCAAAAAUGUCAUAAUUUGAACUCUUGACCCUGUAUUUUGCAAACACAGCUGACCAGUUUCUGUUAGAUUAAGAACUCUAUAAUUCAUUGCACAGGAAAAACAGGUCCCUGUUGUAUUUGAGGUUUCCAGCUCUUUACUCAUCUGGACUCAUCUGGACUCCAGGGACGAAUUAUUCAACCCAACCUGCUGGAAAAUAAGGGGGAAUGUUUUUAACAAACUGAUGGAAUAAAAAGAUCCCAACGUCACAACAGACGUUCUCACUGUGAAGGCCACAUGUUCACAAUCCUGUUUGUUGGAUUAUUACGGAUGGAGGCCUGAUGGAUGGAGUAUAACUGCUGAGUCAUGGUCAGACAGACAGAUGGACGACCAUCAGACCACAACACUGGAGGGCUGGUUCAAACAGAGGGGAAGAACAACGAGCUGCUCUUCCUCUCUGCUUGUCCCUCACUUCAUGGCGCCUUGUCAAACCAAAAGACGUACAUACGACAUCCCCGCUACUAUCUCCCUCCUCCUCUUCUUCUUCUUCUUCAUCUGACGAAGGUGAAGUAAAACAAACUCUGGUUGAAAACACUGACACUCAUAGGAAACACGGAGCUAUGAGACGCCUUUCCAUUACACGAGGACAUCCUGACUGAUUUUUGCACAGAGCGAAGCUACAGUGGGACUCUGAGGUACGACAAACGUUACUUGAAUCAUCACGAUGCUACGUAUAUUUGCAACAUGUCUGCUGGCUAACGGAGUCGUCCAUAUAGUCACGAGUAGAUGUUUCUCGGGAGACUGCUCCUCUUGCUGUAGAGAAACUUGUACGUCCUUGUCUGUACGUCGCAUAUCAUAUUCAAACCAAAACAUAUUAUUGCAUGCUUGGAAAGUAGAGCAUGUAAACAGAAGAAAACAAGUUUGGCUUUUGUGUUGACGGCUCAACCCAGCACUGCUAAUCUGAAAUAUGGGAACAACAACAACAACAACAUCAACCACAACUCAUCGAUAUCAAGUUGAUUCAAAUAAUUCUGUUUGACUCGUGGAGUUGAUUUCUAAAUCUCUAUUUUUUAAAGUAUCAUACUGUAUAUGUUUUAUAUGGAGAGGAAUCGGUUAACCUCGUGAAUUAUUUUGUAGAUUUUUAACAUUUUUGCUAUUGUGUUUCAUUUUUUUUUUUUUUGUUCAUUUUUGCCUUGGUAAAGAAAACGAAGCAGCUCCAGUGGGCAGCUCUGAUGAAAACGUCUGCCUGCUGAAAAAACACUUUAAUUAACGAAAAAAAAAAAGAAUCUGCUGCCCCUUAGAGGAAUGUCUGUGCUGGUUAAUUAGGACAAAAGACAGUUGGAACGCAUUUAUCGCAGACAUCUGAUUUUUUUUGAACAAUUCUGAAUGUUUCUGAUUGUGUUUGGGUUUUUGAUCAGAAUGCUGUAAUAUCUGUUUAUCAAUAACAUCUACCUCAGUGUCCGCUCAUUAAUGACAGAAGCUUUAACACCCGAAUGACGUCGGUGUCCCUCCAUUAUCUGAACAUAGUCAUCAGACCUGGGUUGAGUUUUUCAAUGCCUCUCUGUAACUAUCUGGUGCAAUUAAAUACAUCCAAAUGCUCUAUAAACUGCCAUUUAAUAACUUACAGAAGUCCAAAAAAUAAGGUAAAAAACACUAGAAGAAAUGUAUCAUACUAACUGGGGUUAUAUGUCAUCCAGCCUGACUAAAGCAAAGCAAUGUAGAGCCUGAUUAAUUUGCACAUUUUUAUUAAUUUAUUUGUGAAAGUUUUCAAAGCGAGUGUGAGUGAAUGUGAGUGAUUUUUAAUUAAUUGUUGAUUUAAGGGCAAUAAUGUUCUGCGGAGGGUUUCUGCCAUUGAAUACAGUGGGUGGAAUGGGUCAGCCUGUUUAAAAGAAAAACUGCAAACCCUAACAAUUUAUUAGUUUGAGGUUUUAAUUGAAUUUAAUAUCAACCAAUGGUCUAAAAUACGGUUCUUCAAUUAACUGCGGAGAAUACGGUUCUGGGGCUCAUAAUUAAUCCCUGUAAUUAGACACAACAUGAAGAAAUGGUUUGACAUUUUGGGAAAUUAUUUUGUAUUCGGAUGGAUGUCAGUUUCAGAUACAUCCAGUAUUUAGCCUAGCUUAGCACAAAGACUGGAAUUAGGGGAAACUAGUCUAGCUCCAUCAAAGAUGAAAUAAUAUAGACUCCAACAACAGAAAAGGUUUUUAUUCAAAUUGUGCAGAAACAAAAAUGUAAAAACAAGAAAUCGGUUUUAGGUGCAGUUAGCAUUGGAGCUAACAAACAUUGUGAUAAAAGUGGUUUAAGAUUAGCUACACAUAAAUUUGGAUGUAAACUAUAAACUGCUACAUAGAAAUGUAAAAAAUGAAGUGGUUUUAGCCGCAGUUAGCAUCAGAGCUGUUUGUUUACCAACAGUUAGCAUCUCAUAAGUUUUGUCCUUGUAGUGAUGUAGGACUAAAAGUUCAGCUCUGAAGUCGUGGGAAGGUUUGAGCUAGGCUAACACAAGGUUUUAUGUUAUGUGCCAGUUUUACUUUAUGCUAAGCUAAGUUAAACACAUUCUGGACUGAAAUGAAACGGAUCCAUCUUUUCAUCAGACUUGGAAACAAAAAUACUUCCCAAAACAUGAACUUUUUCUCAUCAUCAUCUUCAUCAUCAUCAUAAAACAUUGGUAGUCUGUAAAAUCUUGUAUCCAUCAAAACCCCAGCAUCAACUCUGCAGUUUGGUCUUGUUGUAAUUCUGCUUUGCUUGGACAUAAAAACAGCCGAGGGAGAUUUGUGUUUGACAGAGGCACUGAUGAGCUGUCACUGGGCAUUACUCCUGAUGAUUAAUGUAUUCUGCAUACUGUAUGUGCAAUAAUAAUAAUAGUACCGCAUUUCCUCUGUGAGUGCAGAGAGACUUGUCUUGACUUCCGCAUAUUUAACCAUCACUUGAUAUUCACUGCAUGUAACAUCCAUGGUUACAUCUGGGAGGACGUUUUCAUGCUUCAUUAUCAGCUGCAGAGUUCAGUUCAGGCUUCUCACCAAAUUGUCUCAUUUUCAUGCAAAAAUAAGAAAAAGCAAUAGUGAGUGACUCUCUGAACUCCAGAGUGGAAGUAAAAUGCAUCAUGAUUUUUCCUCUUUCUGUUUUUUAUUCCCAGUUAUUGUUCAUUGCCAUGUUUAUUUUGACUUCAAUUGUGAUCUAUUUUUGAUAAAAUAAAUCUUUGAUCCCGAUCAGUUUCAAUCUCCAUGUGUCUCAGACGGCUGCACAUGCAGCUGUGCCAUUUCCUGUUUCCUGUGUUUGUUGCCAUUUAUAAAACAUUUCCACACGAUGGGAAGGAUGAAGGUGAACGUGUGUGUUGCUGAGAUUAAACGCCAUCACAUCUGAAUUACCUUCAUCCAUCCCGAGGUUCCUCUGUGAACUCAUCAGAGGAGAAGCUUAAACGUCGGCCUCACAACAGUCAGUCAGGACUAUGAAACUAUGACACCAAUCCUACUUAACAUGAGAAAAUCUACACAAGGAGCCGGAGAGAGAGAGAGAGUUGCAGCUGAAGGAGUUAUUGCCAUGACAACUCAACAACGACAUUAACCUGCAGUUAUAGAUACUUUAUUAUUGACCCCAGAUAAUAUUGAUGAGAAAAUCUGUUCAUGGGUUGAUAAACUAAGUGUUCAGCAAAGAUAUAUUCAUGGGAACAACUCUAAUAUUGAACCUUCAAAGUAAAAGUAGUGGGAGGUUAUAUUAAAAAGCCAUUAAAUAACAACAGAGUGUAAAUUACACUGUUCUUGUCAAAUUAGAUUUUUAAUGCACAAUUCUAGAGCUGCAAUAAUUAGUCAGUUAAUUGAUUAGUUAAUUGGAAAAAAAUCUACAUUCUACAAUGUAAAUUUUUUAUUUUUCAAACAAAAACUAUACAGUUUAAAUAAUGCUUUGGGAAAUUAUAGCAGGCACCUUUUACUACAUUCUGACAUUUUAAAAACAAAAUAAUUAAUGGUGAAAAUAAUUGGAAGAUUAAUUGAUAAUCAAAAUAAUCAUUAGUUGCGGCCCUACAUGAUAUUUAUAUAAUAUGAAAACUGUACAUUGGCCAACAGUGACUCACCUGUUCUUUAUCUAUUAAAUGCAGCAUAAAAUCAAUUACAUUAUGUAAAAUGUACUUAAAUAGAAUUAUCACUCUCCACCUUUGUGCUGAAUCUAAAUGUAUAUUCUGGAAGUCUUAUCUAUCUUUAAACCUUAACUAUGUGGUUUUUUUUGUAUGAUUAAAUUAUUUUGCCCUCAGUACUGGAGCUUGGAUCAAAAACAACAACAAAAACAUCAUCUCUUAUUUAUGAAUAAACUAUGUGCUACGUUUAGCAUGGAUUAAUCAAUCACAUGCAGAGAUUUUCACACCUAUAUUUUUUUCUACGACCCUUGGAGAGCGACUACAACGUCCACUAUGGAAUCUAUGUGUGAACUGUUGUUGUCUGGAUGUACCCAAAGUCUUAUUUCAGUCUGUAGGAAUAUUAUGCAGGGACGUUUCAGGGAAUUUGAAUUAGCCUGUGAUAUCAAAUGUCAUUAACUAAAGACAACAUGAGCAGCAACAUUAAGAAAUGUGUGAUAUUAUAAAAUAAUUACUGUGGGAUUGUGAGAAAGCGAAAUAUCAAAAAUAUUGAGACUUAAAGAAAACAAAGGAAUAUAGUUCAGACCAUAUGCUAAUAUAAUAUAUUGUAGUUUUCAGACAGUUGAAGAAUAAGCAGCAAGAGAAAAUGCUGAUCUUCUGUUUUUACUCAUUAAGUGCAAACUUUGUUGACACUGUCAUCGUCAUUUCUGUUAAUACCCCAUGACAACAAAGCCCUUACCCUAAAAACAGAUGACAGAGAGGAAAUGCAGACUUGAUGUUUAAAUGCACGUCAUGUUUUUUGUACUGGUUGCACAUCAGAUGCUUUCACCUCAUUACAAAGCUUGUUAAAGGUAAAACGUCAGAGUCUGAAGGGAAUAUAUGAUGUUCCCGAUGCUCCGCAGGUGACGCUGCAUAUUAACUGCAAGCAGAAAACCAGCUGAUGUCACUUAGAAACAUGCAGUAACCACAGUUAUUCAUCAAUAAGCAAUAAUGCAUGAAGAGUACAGUAUCAUCAGCAAAGGUGAUGUGUCUGGUUGUUCCUAUCUGUGCAUAAACAGGUCGAUAUAGUGCCUUAAUCAUUAUCUGAUUCAGUCAAUAACCCUGUCAAAUGCAUCUGAAGUACCAUAGAAGAAGAAAGCGUGUAUUUAUAUUAGAACUGUAGGGAUGCAAUCCACUGGUUGCCCAUAGAAAUAAUGUAUUGUAAAUUAAUGUAUUGAAUGUACAGUAUGCAGUCUUCCUGGUUGGUGUUUUGAAAGAGAAAAAAUAGGAAAAUAUAAAAAGGAAUCUCUCUUUACGGAAGCUCAGAGGGGCCAUUGUUGCAGUUUAUGUUUUCGGCCUGUUAUCUUGUUGCUGAUUUUUUUUUUUUAUUUGUUUAUUUUUUAACCUUAGCAUUAUCUUCUUUGCAUAAGUCAUUAUCUUGUGCACAUAAAGUAAAGAUAUAGUCUUUUAGGACUUUGGCAAAGUUUGGGACUAAGUUUAGUAAAAGUUUUCUGUGGAAAAUUUGGACAAUAAAACAUGAUUUAGUUUCCUGAGAAAAUGACUUUUAAUUAUGAUCUUGAGAAAACAGUUUCCUUGAGAUAAUAAAGUUUGAGGAUUACAGGCCUAGAAAAAUAGGAGCAACCAUAUCCACUCUGGGCUUCCGUAGGUGUUUUGUGUUGUAGAAUUCACAUUAUGCCUGUUUCACUUUAGUUUUUGCUUUCGACUCAUGAGACUAAAGCUGUUCAUCGUAUCUGUACUUCAGUCCACUGCAUCUUUUCAUUUACAAACGUACAAAAGUUAUUUCAGUGUGGGUGUAAUGACCAAAGUUAUUUUUGUUAACGUUAACUAAAUUAGCAUUUUCCAGGACUUUCCAUUACAACAGUGGUCUUCCUCAGCAGAUGGAGUUAGGGGGCGACACCUGAGUAAUCCUUGUUCAUUGAGGAAGACCUUGGAAACCAGAAUUAAAGCUCUGAGAAAGUAAAACUAGUAAGUGACCUUGAGUUACCUUUAGAGUUUUUUGUUUAUUUAAAAAAAAAAAAACAGAUAAAAUUAGAUUUUUUUUUUUUUUUUUCAGAAAAACUCAAGAAGGAAAAAAAAAGUUUUUAAAUAUAAAUUAGAAUUACUCCACAAACAUUAAAACAAAACAGAAUGUAAUCUUGAUUUAAAGAAUAUGAACUAAAAUAACCCUGGUCAUAAUAUUUAAUUUUUUUUUUUUACAGUGAUGAUUAAAAAAAGUUCAAGUUCAAAAAAAGGUUAAAUGUUUACAUCUUUUUUAUUUUUUUUUAAAUCACUUUAAUUGCUCCAAAUGACACGACACAAUGUUGAAUUGAUCUGAUUCUAUCUGACAUUUUGAAUGAAUUACUGAGCUGCUGUGAAAGGCUGCAACUUAUUUACUAUAUCGAUGUUAUAUUUUCAUUAUUUGGUCUGGAAAAAUAAUAAUGAUAAAUUUCCAUCACAAACAGCCAUAAAUCUGUUGUAUUCUCCAGACCGGUUCCUCAGAGUGACAGAAAUCAACAGUAUGGACUUUGUGUUGGACCAAAACAGUUGUUUUAUUUUAAUAUGGAGCCGUGAGACUCAGAGGAUUGAAACAAGACUGAGAGAACGACUGCAAAAAAGAAUUAGAAAUAAAUAUCAUAGACUCUAACUGGCAUGAGUGUAACAACUGCAAUGUGUCUCUAUGUAUUUGAGGUCAGUCCUGUGUUCAUUCACUGAAGUGUGUGUUUGUCUCAUGGUGGUUUUCCUGCUUCCUGCAAACAGCUGAUACGACAGUGACGAAAAAAAAAAAAAACUGUCUGCAAAACCUCAACGUGUGUCCUCAGUGUUGAAAAUCUCAAAUAAUAGAUUUUAUUUUUGUUGACUUGGAGUAUCUGUGUGUUUCACUGUUCGACAGGUAUAAAGUUAAAUAACAGAGAAAAAGAAACAGAACAAGUCUGUCAUAAUGUGAUAUAUGUAUGGCGUGGGAUCGUACAUACUGUUUAUGCACAACACAGGCAUUCUGAAUACUAGUUGUGACUACGUUUAAUGUGGCCUUUUCUUUCUCUUUAAUGUACUGCAAUGUUGUAAAGGAUUUGUAUAAUAUAACAUAAUGUAUAUUAAAGUUAAUGAGGCUUUAUGUUUCUACUUAUGUUUAAUAAAUAAAUGAACUGUG